rnacentral:rRNA from 1 species
UACGGGGGGAGCAAGCGUUGUUCGGAUUUACUGGGCGUAAAGGGCGCGUAGGCGGCCAGCGCAAGUCAGUUGUGAAAUCUCCGGGCUUAACUCGGAAAGGUCAACUGAUACUGCGCGGCUAGAGUGCAGAAGGGGCAACUGGAAUUCUCGGUGUAGCGGUGAAAUGCGUAGAUAUCGAGAGGAACACCUGCGGCGAAGGCGGGUUGCUGGGUGACACUGACGCUGAUGCGCGAAAGCCAGGGGAGCGAACGGG